UUCUCUCCUGAAGAAGUUGAAAUUAAGGCUUGAAGAGGAUUUUCCCUGUGAUCAACAGAGGAAGGAGGUUUUCUGGAUCUGAAUGCUGGCAGCAUCAGGGAGAAGAUCUCGGGACUUACUUGGAUAUCUACUAACUUAAGAUCCUGGCCCUAUUUGAUUUGGACUCCUGAUGUGGAAGACUCUGGUGAGGAAUAUUCCACAUACUGCCAGACAUUACUGAUGUGACACACCUUCCCAGUCUGGGGAGGCUUAUCACGAGAGAGAAAAAUAACAUAUUGGUGAGGAAUUCUUUGGACAGAGCAAUCCAUGAAGCAAAGACAACCAAAAGAGGGCACUUGGUCCUGUAGAGCUCCUUCUAAUUCUACAAUAAUAGUAGCCAACUUGUUUGAAGAGAGAAAAAGGAACACUGAGAAUCAGAGGAAUUUUACACCAUCUACAAACAUUCACUUAACUAUAGGUAUUAUUCUCAUGAUAUUCUUUCUAGUGACCAUGGAGUGAAUGCAGUGCUACAGGAAUUGGACCAUAGCAAAAGGAAAAAACUAAAUGAAUUAUUCAAAGAGAAAUAAAAAUAAUUAGAAAUUCAGUGGAAGAAGAGUGCAUGUGCUUCUUCUGCUAAUUUUCUUUUAUUAUCUAAGGAAAAAUAAUUUUAUAUAUUCCUUAAACAUCUUCCACAAACAUUCCAAUAUAAUAUAGAGUGUUGGUCUUCAAUUUAGGAUGCAUGAAUUCAAAUGGAACAACAAGUUUUAAAUAUCUGUGUGACCUUAAUCUUUCUGUGCUUCAUUCCUUUUCUUUUUUUUUUUUGAAAAAUGUAAUCAGUCAAUUUAGAACAUUAUUCCUUAGUUACAAGAAUCAUAUUCUUCCCUCCCUCCCCUUGCCCCACCCCUUUCUGUAGCCAACAUGCAAUUCCACUGGGUUUGACAUGUGUCCUUGAUCAGAACCUAUUUCCAUGUUGUUGAUGUUUCCAUUAUCAUUCCUCUUUUCUAUGAAAUAUAGUGAUUGCAUUUGGUGACCUCUGAAAUCUAGCUCUUAAUCUAUGAUUAUAUAUACAACUUUUUAAAUAAGAGCAUGGAAAUAUUAGCAUCUUUGGCAACACUAUAUCUUGGAUAGAAUAAGGAAGUAGAAAAUUUUCACAAAGAAUUUAGGGGUGGAGGAAAGAUUUUUUUAAAUGCCAAAUGAUACAAGUUUAAAUGAGAUGAUUUAGCUAUCAACUGAGGCAACUCCAAACUUGUUUAUAAAAAAAAUAACAGGGAAAUGGAUAAAAGUAUGAGCAUCAACACACUAUUUCCAUUUCUAAUAAAGUUUGCCCAGUGUAAAUGAGCCACUUCCAAGUGGAAAAUCAACUAUCUUGGUCAGAAAACACUUGAUUGACUCGACAAAGUUGAAGGAUAUAGUGGCCAGGGCCAAUAUCAAUUUAUAAUUUUAAAAAUUACAUAUACAAUCUUAUGGAAAAAAACUGGUAGGUGAUUGGAAGAUUGGGAAAAGUUUAAAAUAUUAAAGCAGUGGAAGGAAAAUCAGUUAAAUAAGGAAGCUUGAUGCCAAAUUGAUUACUCAGUUAUUUCAGUCAUGUCUUACUUUUGGUGACUUCAUUUUUGGGAUGGAGGGCAAAGAUAGCAGAAAGGUUUCCAUUUCCAUCUCCAGCUCAUUUUACAGAUGAUGCUACUGGGGCAAAAAGGGCAAGUGCCCAGGGUCACAAGUUAGUGUCUAUGACUGGAUUUGAAUUAAGAUCUUCCUGAAUAUAGGUCUAGUAUUGUAUGCUUUGUACUACCUAGCUUUCCCAGAUGAAGAGUGGAUGAUUUCUAAGAUUCUAUCAUGCUAUGAAUGUAAAGUAUACAGAAGAAAUAUUUAUUGAAUUGAAUGGCUUCCUAUAAAUACUGAAAGCAAACCACAGAACUCAUUUAAGUUUAGGUGAUUUUUUACUGGUAAGAUGUGGUAGGAUAUUCAGGGCUUUGUGUUUACGUGAUGGAACAUAUAACCUUAGGUCUUCUGAGAGAUCUGUAUUUUUCAUAUGUAUGAACCAUGACUACUUGUUUUAGAAUGAUGUAGGAAGCAAAAUAUUUUGUAACAAUAUUAUCAGGCAGCUGGACAAUAGGAAUCUUAGGUUUUUGUGGUCUGCUUUGACAGUGGGUAUAACUGGACAUGAGAGAGUCAGUUAUUAAAAUACAAUGGAAGAGGGGAGGCUCUAGAUGCCUUAAUAGAUAAGAGACCAAGGCCCAAAGACAGAAGAUCUUAGGUUCAAAUCUGGCCUCAGACACUUCCUAGCUGUGUGAUCCUGUGCAAGUCACUUCACCCCCAUUGCCUAGCCCUUAGCCCUCUUCUGCCUUAGAACCAAUACGUAGUAUUGAUUCUAAGAUAGAAGGCAAAGGGUCUUUUUCUUUUAAAGAUUCAAUGUCAGGGGUCACUACAGAAUGGAGACCUGUAUCUCUGCAGGAUUUCUGUUCCACCUGAUGCCUGAUUGUUUAAUAUUUGCUUGGAUUGGAGCCUGGAGAGGAAUUGCAUUUGAAAAGGACCUCUGUUGGGUCAUACAGCUUUCAGUCAUCACAUAUCUCUUUGUAGGUGCCAAUGUCAAUUGAGUGCUGUGCAUCACCUUUAUUUGUGAAAAAUGAGUCAGUAUCCCCACAUCACAAACCAACACAAUUUUUGAAAGCAAGUUAAGAGAGUGUUUCUUCAUAUGACAUAUGCUCAAGUUGGAAUAGACCUAAUCAAUUAAUCCCUUUAUUUUUUUUUUAUUUUUCCGUCCCACGUACUAUUUUCCCCUUCUUCUAUAAUCAUCUUUCCAAAGCUAUCCAGCAGAAAGCAACCCACUUCAUUCCUCUCCUUUUCCCCUUGUCAUUGCUAUGGAUAGUUCCUUACCAGCCUUCCUUAGCUCUAGCUAAGGCUCAAGUGCUAUAGAAUCCAAAGAGGAGAGCUUGUGCUCAGUUCCACUACAGCCCCAGACUCAAUGUUUCCUUUCCUGUUUCAGAGAGAAAUGAUAUCAUUUGCUUUAAAGAAAAGGGUAUUGAGUUAGAGAAUGUUAGAUCAAGGUGAGAUCUUGGAGAAUGUCUUUUGCAGUGGUUCCCAAUCUUUGUGAUUAUUAGAACUCUUUUGUAACACCCAGAAAUCAUUCCUCGCACACAUAUGAUAUUUAGGGUUAACAGCUAUGCUCUCUUAUUUCAUUGAGAAAAGACAUGAUGACCAAUAUGGCAUCUUGCUUCAGAAUAACUACAAUAUUCCUGGAGGGACGAUGAUGGAAUAUGCUGUCCUCUACUUGGGAGAGAAUUGGAGGUAAUGAGUAUGGAAAGCUGCAUGUUCUAUCAGGCACCAUUGUUUAAGCUUUUGUAUGUGUGUGUGUGUGUGUGUGUGUGUGUGUGUGUGUGUGUGUGUGUGUGUGUGUGUGUGUGUUUGUGAGAUUAACUUUGGGAAAGAGACAAGCAAGGUAGAAGAUAGGCAGAAUCAUUCUCCCCUCCACCCCAUUAUUAUAGUUCUUUCCUACUUGUGAAAAUCAGCAGUGGAGGGUUAAGAUAUAGGUUUACAGGUAAGCCAGGCACUCCUACCUAAAAAAGCUUCAGAGACCAACGACCUCAAUUCCUACUCUCAUUCUCCUUCAGGAAAAGAAAGAAAUGUAUAGUUGUCACCUAUAGGUGCAAAGCAAAAAAGUUUCCCAGAUCCUUUCCAGGCACCAAUCUAUAGAAAAGGCUGCCAUUUUGUAAAUCCCCCACAGGCUUCCCAUACCAUUCUCCUCACCUGCCUGCCAUGUAUGAUAUAGCUCUUCUCCCUAUGCGGUUUAAAACACAAAGAUAAACCACUGGCCUCAGAAAAAACUCACAUUUAGUAAUGAGAUCUGGCCUUUCCCUUGGAUAUGACAAGUAUAGCACUGGAGCUUGAUAAAUAGUGGGUCUUCUAAGUCUUUUAACUACUCAGUAAUAUUGAUAAUACAAGUAUUAUUACUAUUUUUACAGAGAAAACCAAGUGUCAGAGUGCCUUCUUAUGGUGACAAACCUUGUAAAGUACCAUAGGAAGGAUCUGAAACUAUCUCUCUUGUCUUCAACUCUUUCUGUGGUAUUAUAUCUCUUUGGAGAACUUCAAAUAAUAUAAUAGAGUAAGAGGCUCUUGCCAACAAGCUCAUUCUACCAAUUUUCAAAAUCAGAAAGGAACAGACCCCCUCAUACACACACACAAAAACACACAUACAAAAAAGUGGAAAAUGGAAAAAGAAAAAAAUCUAUCUGAAGAAGCCAUAUUAUUCUAUAAAUUAUUAGUGUCCUCUUUUUCCUUUCCUUUAAGAUGAGACCUUAGGAUUUUAUAUGACUUCUAUUAGUUCCCUACUUAAU